GAUCAUGGCUCAGGAUGAACGCUAGCUACAGGCUUAACACAUGCAAGUCGAGGGGUCUGCUUCGGCAGACGACCGGCGCACGGGUGAGUAACGCGUAUCCAACCUGCCCUUCUCAUUGGGAUAGCCUUUCGAAAGAGAGAUUAAUACCGAAUAACAUAGUAAAGUUGCAUGAUCUUACUAUGAAAGCUCCGGCGGAGAAGGAUGGGGAUGCGUUCCAUUAGCUAGAUGGCGGGUAACGGCCCACCAUGGCGACGAUGUCUAGGGGUUCUGAGAGGAAGGUCCCCCACACUGGAACUGAGACACGGUCCAGACUCCUACGGGAGGCAGCAGUGAGGAAUAUUGGUCAAUGGUCGGAAGACUGAACCAGCCAAGUAGCGUGAAGGAUGAAGGUUCUAUGGAUUGUAAACUUCUUUAUAUAGGAAUAAACCUCCCACGUGUGGGAGCUUGUAUGUACUAUAUGAAUAAGCAUCGGCUAACUCCGUG
rnacentral:rRNA from 1 species